UACGGAGGGUGCAAGCGUUAUCCGGAUUUAUUGGGUUUAAAGGGUGCGCAGGCGGGGCCUUAAGUCAGUGGGGAAAUCCCUUCGCUUAACGAAGGAACUGCCAUUGAUACUGAGGUUCUUGAAUCUAGUUGACGUUAGUGGAAUGUGUCAUGUAGCGGUGAAAUGCUUAGAUAUGACACAGAACACCGAUCGCGAAGGCAGCUAACGAAGCUAGUAUUGACGCUCAGGCACGACAGCAUGGGGAGCAAACAGG
rnacentral:rRNA from 1 species